UCCGUCGUGGUGUAGUGGCUAGCAUUUGAGACUCUCAUAUUUCACGCCAAGUGAAAUCGUGGACUCUCAGAACCCGGGUUCAAUUCCCGGCGACGGAA